rnacentral:rRNA from 1 species
AAGCAAUUUCUUACGAUCCCUUCGGGGUGACGAGUUAUUGACUGAGUGGCGGACGGGUGAGUAACGCGUGGGUAACCUACCUUGUACAGGGGGACAACAGUUGGAAACGACUGCUAAUACCGCAUAAGCGCACAGCAUCGCAUGAUGCAGUGUGAAAAGUUUUUUCGGUACAAGAUGGACCCGCGUCUGAUUAGCUAGUUGGUGAGGUAACGGCCCACCAAGGCGACGAUCAGUAGCCGACCUGAGAGGGUGACCGGCCACAUUGGGACUGAGACACGGCCCAAACUCCUACGGGAGGCAGCAGUGGGGAAUAUUGCACAAUGGGCGCAAGCCUGAUGCAGCGACGCCGCGUGAGCGAAGAAGUAUUUCGGUAUGUAAGGCUCUAUCAGCAGGGAAGAUAAUGACGGUACCUGACUAAGAAGCACCGGCUAAAUACGUGCCAGCAGCCGCGGUAAUACGUAUGGUGCAAGCGUUAUCCGGAUUUACUGGGUGUAAAGGGAGCGUAGGCGGUUUUACAAGUCUGAUGUGAAAGCCCGGGGCUCAACUCCGGUAUUGCAUUGGAAACUGUAGAACUAGAGUGUCGGAGGGGUAAGUGGAAUUCCUAGUGUAGCGGUGAAAUGCGUAGAUAUUAGGAGGAACACCAGUGGCGAAGGCGGCUUACUGGACGAUUACUGACGCUGAGGCUCGAAAGCGUGGGGAG